GCGGCGGACGGGUGAGUAACACGUGGGCAACCUGCCCUGCAGACUGGGAUAACUUCGGGAAACCGGAGCUAAUACCGGAUAACACCGAAAACCGCAUGGUUUUCGGUUGAAAGGCGGCUUUUAGCUGUCACUGCAGGAUGGGCCCGCGGCGCAUUAGCUAGUUGGUGAGGUAACGGCUCACCAAGGCGACGAUGCGUAGCCGACCUGAGAGGGUGACCGGCCACACUGGGACUGAGACACGGCCCAGACUCCUACGGGAGGCAGCAGUAGGGAAUCUUCCGCAAUGGACGAAAGUCUGACGGAGCAACGCCGCGUGAGCGAAGAAGGUCUUCGGAUCGUAAAGCUCUGUUGUCAGGGAAGAACAAGUGCCGUUCGAACAGGGCGGUACCUUGACGGUACCUGACGAGGAAGCCACGGCUAACUACGUGCCAGCAGCCGCGGUAA
rnacentral:rRNA from 1 species